CAAUAGCGUAUAUUUAAGUUGCUGCAGUUAAAAAGCUCGUAGUUGGAUUUCGGGUGGGAAUGGCCGGUCCGCCGUUUCGGUGUGCACUUGCUACGCCCACCUUGCUGCCGGGGACGUGCUCUUGAGUUCACGCUCGGGACACGGAGUCGGCGAGGCUACUUUGAGUAAAUUAGAGUGUUCAAAGCAGGCCUACGCUCUGAAUACAUUAGCAUGGAAUAACACGAUAGGACUCUGGCUUAUCUUGUUGGUCUGUGAGACCAGAGUAAUGAUUAAGAGGGACAGUCGGGGACAUUCGUAUUUCAUUGUCAGAGGUGUAAUUCUUGGAUUUAUGAAAGACGAACUUCUGCGAAAGCAUUUGUCAAGGAUGUUUUCAUUAA
rnacentral:rRNA from 1 species